GACUGAAUAAGGUCGAAAGCACAGCACACCCGGACGGUGGUCUCCUGGGUGAGACCUCUGACCCAUUAAAGCUCGCCUCCCGCAAAACCCCUCGCGAGCGUCUCCUCGCUGAAGGCUCCCUGGUGCGUAUCAGACACCGAGGGCCACCGACCUCUGACUGCGCCGACGCCGCGAGAGGCACACGGAGGACGUGAAAGCGCCUGCGGGCUGACGGGAAAGCUGCGGCGUGGCCCGCCGGAAGCAGUUAAAGAGUUAGAAGAUAAUCCUGAACAAAUACUGAAAAACAACCUCCACAACUCAGUCCUCACUGGCCUCCACCAAGUGGCGACCCUGCAAAGCAUUUGACUGAGGAUAUUAUGUAACCUGAGAUUCUCCUCCCUCCCCACGAACUGCUCUGCACAGUCACUCUCUGACCUCCUCGGCUCAGGGACUGUCGCCUCCUCCCGGACCUCUCAGGGGAUUUGCAUCUGUCAGAAUGAGACGGAAAAGAAUCUGAGGCUGAAACAUAAAAAAAUAAACACACGGGAGUGUUUACUGCAUGCUGGAGAUGUUCACCUUCAGCAUAAAGGCUGCUCUCCUCCAGAGCUGGUGGUCCAAUAUGCAGCAACGUCUGUGUUGAUGCACUG
ensembl:lncRNA